rnacentral:tRNA from 1 species
GCCCUGUUAGCGCAGUAGGCAGCGCGUUAGUCUCAUAAUCUAAAGGUCCUGAGUUCGACCCUCAGACAGGGUA